AACGAACGCUGGCGGCAUGCCUAACACAUGCAAGUCGAACGAGACCUUCGGGUCCAGUGGCGCACGGGUGCGUAACGCGUGGGAACCUGCCCUUAGGGUCGGAAUAACUCCCUGAAAGGGGUGCUAAUACCGGAUAAUGUCUUCGGACCAAAGAUUUAUCGCCUUUGGGUGGGCCCGCGUUGUAGUAGCUUGUUGGUAGGGUAAAAGCCUACCAAGGCGACGAUCCAUAGCUGGUCUGAGAGGGUGAUCAGACACACUGGGAGUGAGACACGGCCCAGACUCCUGCGGGAGGGAGCAGUGGAGAAUAUUGGACAAUGGGCGAACGCCUGAUCCAGCAAUGCCGCGUGAGUAAUGAAGGCCUUAGGGUUGUAAAGCUCUUUUACCCGAGAUGAUAAUGACGGUACCGGGAGAAUAAGCUCCGGCUAACUCCGUG
rnacentral:rRNA from 1 species